rnacentral:rRNA from 1 species
AGGGCACCACCAGGAGUGGAGCUUGCGGUUUAAUUUGACUCAACACGGGGAAACUUACCCGGCCCGGACACUGGAAGGAUUGACAGAUUGAGAGCUCUUUCUUGAUUCAGUGGGUGGUGGUGCAUGGCCGUUCUUAGUUGGUGGAGCGAUUUGUCUGGUUAAUUCCGAUAACGAACGAGACUCUAGCCUAUUAAAUAGGCUGCUGGUUUUAUAACACCGGCAGGACUUCUUAGAGGGACAGGUGGCGGCUCAGCCGCACGAAAGAGAGCAAUAACAGGUCUGUGAUGCCCUUUGAUGUCCGGGGCCACACGCGUGCUACACUGAAGAGAUCAGCAUGCGUGAUAUUCCUGCUCCGACCGGAGUGGGGAACCCAGUGAAACCUCUUCGUGAUUGGGAUAGAAAGUUUGAAUUAUUCUUCUUGAACGAGGAAUUCCAAGUAAAAUGCGAGUCAUAAGCUCGCGUUGAUUACGUCCCUGCCCUUUGUACACACCGCCCGUCGCUACUACCGAUUGAACGAUU